rnacentral:rRNA from 1 species
CGGGAAUUUUGGGCAAUGGGCGAAAGCCUGACCCAGCAACGCCGCGUGAGGGAUGAAGUAUUUCGGUAUGUAAACCUCGAAAGAAUGGGAAGAAUAAAUGACGGUACCAUUUAUAAGCUCCGGCUAACUACGUGCCAGCAGCCGCGGUAAUACGUAGGGAGCAAGCGUUGUUCGGAUUUACUGGGCGUAAAGGGCGCGUAGGCGGCGCGGUAAGUCACUUGUGAAAUCUCUGAGCUUAACUCAGAACGGCCAAGUGAUACUGCUGUGCUAGAGUGCGGAAGAGGCAACCGGAAUUCUUGGUGUAGCGGUGAAAUGCGUAGAUAUCAAGAGGAACACCUGAGGCGAAGGCGGGUUGCUGGGCUGACACUGACGCUGAUGCGCGAAAGCCAGGGGAGCAAACG